GGAGGGCGUGAGGCGUUGCUAGACCGGCGCGGCGGUGCACCGUGCGCGUGGUGUCCUAGGGCCCCGUGGCCACAAGGCUGGACGGCGUCUGUAGCUGCUAGUGCAGUGGCGCCCGGCAAAGCCUAUUAAAAGUUGAGAAGUCGGGUCACUGUAUGAAUGGGAACAGCAAGACGGCACAGCAAGCUCAUGUUUUACCAGCUUCAAUGGCUGUCAUUGGUGGGCUGAGGUACCUGUGAGGAUUAGUGCCUUCUCACAGGAGCCCAAGUGAGGAAAGGAACAGAUCACCCUUGCACUGCCUCCAUGGCCCACCAGGACCCCAGCAGCCUUCGGACGACGGGGAGCUGGACCAACAAGACCGCUACCUCUAGCCAUUCUGCCUUGGUCAGAGGACCAGGAUGGAGAGCACUGAGCUGGAUUCAUCGCUGGCUUCCUGCGGCCAUCUCUGCCUCUGCAUGAGGCCUGUCCAUGGCUGUAGCUGGGUUGAAGUGGCUGGUGGUGGCCAGUGCUGCCCUCCUGCACCUCCAUGCUUGGGGCAGCUGUGCUUCCGUGCAGGCCACCCAGAGUCUGGGAAGUCAGCCUCACAAGGUAAUGAAAACAGACUUUCUGGCGUGGAGCAGCUUGCAGUAGACCACUGCCUGCUGAGGACUCAGAGAGCUGGCCGUAACUCAGAAGGCAGCUUGAAGGUCUGCAGAGUCACUCCAGCAGCACGACUCAGAGGGGAGCUCAAGGAGGUAAGCCCACUUCCUGCACUGGCUUUCCCCCUCGGGCUGGGUAAGGUGGCUGCCAAGAGGCAGAGGAGCUGGAGGAGCUCCACACAAGCUUGCAGGGCUGGGAAGCCCAAGCUGGGAGUGUGGGCCUGCUGAGGAGUCAGGAGCUGAGCGCCAAGAUUCCUGCGAGGAAGGAGGCCAGAGAAGUGAAGUUGGCAGCAGCAGUUUUCUCUCAAGGCAUUUGCUGGUGAUAUUGCUCAGGUAAGAGAAGCAGAGUGCUGACACGCAGAGCAGGAUUUUCGGCAGUUUCAUGGUGCUGGGAAUUGUUCAGGACGUGUCCGAGAUAAUGACCCUAAGAAAUAUGCCAGACUCUCAGCGGGGACUUUGGGGGUGGCACUCUGGGAGUGGGGGCAAGCCACAGGAAGAUUGGACUUCAUAAGGACUGCAGACAAGCUGUUUCAGCUGAGCCCCCGAUUGGACUAUGGCAGCCUGUCCCUCUGUUGCCCAUCCAGGAGGGAGACAUCAUCCUGACUCUCCACCAUUCUGACAUACACAGUGCCUGGCAGUCAGGUUACUAGGCAACUGAGAAGCAGGACUGGGGGCACAGGCAGUGAUAGGCCCACCAGAGAUGAAGAUAUUGGAGCAGUCAGACAUGGACUUCAAAAUAACUGAUUAGCACAAUAAAGUAAAUAACGAAAACGAAGAGUUUACAGAGAACUGGAUUCAUCAUAAAACAUUAAAAUUCUAAAGCAAAGGUGCAGUGACAGAUGCUGUGUUGCUCUCAAAGCUGAGUGAGCCCGGAGGAGUAAGGAGAAUUCCCGCGUUUGCUGCAGUGACCUCAUCAGCCUGCUGAGAUGGCAGUGCAGGCAGUCCACAGGGUGAACAUUCAUUCAACUUCCACCUGAAGUAAAUCCGAUUUUGUAUAUAAGGAAUUUGUCUUACAAAAUCAUAGCUGAAGAGAUGUAUGACAUAUUUGGGAAAUAUGGACCUAUUUGUCUAAUCAGAAUGGGGAACACACCUGAAACUAGGGGAACAGUUCAUGUGGUCUAUGAAGACAUCUUUUUUUUAACUUCUCACCUGAGGAUAUGUUUUUAUUGAUUUUAGAAAA